rnacentral:rRNA from 1 species
AUGGAUGAAGCUGAGGGUGGGUUCACCCCAGUGUCUCAGUUGAACCCGUCACCGGAGCCCAGGUACAGAGUCCGGGUGCGCAUCUCGCGGAUGUGGGAGUCCUUCAACCCAAAUAAUGGCACGGUGUUCGGCCUCGACACCCUUCUCAUCGACGAUGAGGGUGGUGCCAUGCAAGCCCGUGUACAUCGAAAAGGUAAAAAGCGUCUCGAAGAGCGGUUAAUUGAAGGGAAGGUCUACACACUGUCAGAUUUUGAAGUUUGUCAAAGCAAGGGGAACUACAUCAAAUGUAGGAACCCCUUCAUGAUGAACAUUGGAGCACGGACGGUGGUAGAUGAGAUCGAUGGAGGUGUCAACAUGAUACCUCUCCAUCACUUUGAUUUUGUUGAUUUUGGUGAUGUUCCUCCUUUGAUGGGCUGCAACAAUAGCUCAUUGACAGAUAUAAACUUCACAGAUGUUAUUGGCCAAGUAGUAGAAGUUUGGCCCAUACAGCAGGUCCCGAAAAAACUCCGUGUGAUAGAAUUUUGCAGCUUACGGAUUCAGGAUUUCAGUGGAAAGGAACUGGAUGUCACACUGUAUGGAAAGCUUGGUCAUGAGUUUUACGCAGAGGUUCGCAAGCAAUGCCGACGAGAUCCUGUUGUUGCCGUAUUCGCAGCGAUGGAUAACUUUGUUGUUGGUGUGCAGUUUGGAUCAUCCAAAAAAACCAUAGUGCACCUCCAUUCUCAGCAAGCAAGCUCUGUAGAUCCGACUCAGGAGCCGCAAAGUAUUUCGCAGCGAGCCCAGGAGUUACAAAGUAGCUGGAGAACAAUCAAACAGCUGCAAAGCCUCGAUCCAUUCGAGUUACCGAAGGAUGCCAAAUUUUUGUGCACAUCCACCCUGAAAGAGAUAGACUGCACCCAAGGUUGGUAUUAUCUUGGAUGCGUCCACUGCAGACAGUCGAUCUGCAGGGACGGAAGCGAAUUCUGGUGCAGCCAGUGUGACCCAGUGAACAAGAAGCGGAAGAGGCCGGUAUUACGGUACAAGCUAAAUGCAAUGGUGGAGGAUGACACUGCAACCAUGAACUUGAUGAUCUUUGCCGAGGAGGCGCAUGGACUGAUCGGUAUCACGGCAGAAGAACUUUUGAAAGAGAUCACCGAUUAUGGCAGGUGCACCAUGCCAGCUGCAAUCUCAGAUAUUCUUGGCUCGACCCACACCUUUCAAGUUGCCGUGGGCAACCAGAGCUUGAGCUUCGUUGUGAAAUGGGUCCUGGACGAUGAUGAGUUGACACUGCUCCAGCAUAGUGGGUCAGUUCAGUUGUCAGUACAGGCGACAACAAUCCUUUGCUGA